CCGGACUCUUCGUAAAGUAUAAAUACGGACGCAUAGGCGCUCUUCGGUCUUUCGGCGUAAGGUUUCUGCUGCUUUCUGGAUGUUUUUGAACUCACAUUCCAAAUGACGAUUUGUUUGAGGAGAGAAGAGGAACCACACUGGAAAUUGACUGAAUUACUGAUUUGUGCUCGUUUUAAUUAUUACAAUGGGGAAUGGGUAAAGUAAUUUUAAUUUUUAGUGAUGCAGGAUUUAGAAACAUUGGCACAUUACUUUUUGGGGCAGGGUCUCCCUAUGUGGCACAGGCUUCUUUUAAGUUCUGGAUCCUCCUGCCAAUCUCAGCCAUGACAUUUCUGAAAGUCCUGUAUUUGAAUGACUUGUACAUGCACAUAGCUAGAUGUCCUUAGAUCCUUUUGGCUUGGGUUUUUCACUCUUUGUGUUACACCUAACAUCUGAGAUUGAAUAAAUAAGAAUUGAAAUAAUGAGUAUGUGGUACUUUUUUUUUUAUCAUGUACACUGGGGGAUGCCUGACCAGUUUUCUGCAAAUGGUGCUAGUUAGAAUUGGUUCAUAAAAACUUGCUUGGGAAAUGAUGAAGUAGGACCUGCCUGUAACUUGCUUACGAGUAACACCAAAGAUGGGGAUUGAGACAUCUUGCCUUACUGACUUAAAAUGGUCAAGUUGUCAAUAGGGUGUUAAUCAUAGAUACUAAGUUUGGAACACAGAGGAGUUGACUGAUGCAAUCAAAAUACAUGGGGAAAUUGAGCUGAGCAGCUGGCAGUCUGCUUUCACAGCUACUUAUGCCCUUUAAUGUGAUGAGGCUUGAGCCUAAAAUUACCAGCACGCCUCAUGAUGUGGGAAACCUGUCAUAAUAGAUAUUUUCAACCCUCCACACUGGCUGCCAGCAUUGUAGAAAAGUCAAGGCCCUGAAGGAUGGGAACCACUUAGAAGGUAAAGUCAGGUGAAUUGUAGCUCCUCUGUUGGCUAACCAGCUUUAUAGUCUGGUUAGGAGAAAGUAGGGAUAUAUGUGGCAAGUGCCCUUUUGCACAUGGCUGAAAGUACACUGCCUGCUAGUGAUUAGUGAGAACCUCAGUCAUUCAGAGGUGUGAAGUAGGACUUCCCAAUUGGAAGUCACUCUGCCUGCCCUUCUGUGAUCUGUUUACCUAGAGCAAAUGAGGUUUCUCCUGUGUUUGCCAGUGUGAACAAGCAAAAGCCACAGGUGCUGGGUUCACUUGCCAACCUUUGGAGUACUGGAUUUGAAUCCUGGUAACACCACUUGCUGUCCAUGGGACCUUUGAGGAAUUACAACUUCAGUCUUCUCAAAUUUAUAAAAAUAUCUUUACAGUCUACCACAUAAGUAUUAUGGACUUCUAACAAAGUCAACUAUCAAGCCAGGCUUGAUCACAGAAAACACCCUACCUUUCCAGGGAAGAGAAGGAGGUAGUUCAGGAAUUAAUUUACCUAAGAAAGUCAUGUGAAAACCAGUUGCAGUGAUAAGGUUAUAGAUACAUUGUUUCAUCUAAUCUCCAUGUAUAACUGGGUGUCUGCAGGUGAGGAAGUAGGACUGAAGAAAUGCCCAAAUUCUGCCAUAAGAUGACAGCAUGUAGUCCAGUGCAACCUGUGACAU